GAGUUUGAUCGUGGCUCAGAUUGAACGCUGGCGGCAGGCCUAACACAUGCAAGUCGAGCGGGUGACGGGAGCUUGCUCCUUGAUUCAGCGGCGGACGGGUGAGUAAUGCCUAGGAAUCUGCCUGGUAGUGGGGGACAACGUUUCGAAAGGAACGCUAAUACCGCAUACGUCCUACGGGAGAAAGCAGGGGACCUUCGGGCCUUGCGCUAUCAGAUGAGCCUAGGUCGGAUUAGCUAGUUGGUGGGGUAAUGGCUCACCAAGGCGACGAUCCGUAACU
rnacentral:rRNA from 1 species